CAGGACGUCAUAGAGGGUGAGAACCCCGUUCAUGGCGAGAUGACCCAGUCCUAUGUAAAGUGCUUUCUAAGAGUCGAGUUGUUUGGGAAUGCAGCUCUAAGUGGGUGGUAAAUUCCAUCUAAGGCUAAAUAUUGGCGAGAGACCGAUAGCGAACAAGUACAGUGAUGGAAAGAUGAAAAGAACUUUGAAAAGAGAGUGAAAAAGUACGUGAAAUUGUUGAAAGGGAAGGGCUUGAAGUCAGACAUGGUAUUCAGUGAUCAACUGUCUUUCGGGACUGUGCACUCGCUGUUUACUGGGCCAGCAUCGGUUUAGGCGGUGAGAUAAAUGCAAGAGAAUGUGGCUCCGCUUUCGGGUGGAGUGUUAUAGCUUUUGUUCAUAUCACCAGCUUGGACCGAGGACCGCGCUUCGGCUAGGAUGCUGGCGUAAUGAC
rnacentral:rRNA from 1 species